rnacentral:rRNA from 1 species
UACGAAGGGGGCUAGCGUUGCUCGGAAUUACUGGGCGUAAAGCGCACGUAGGCGGUCUUUUAAGUCGGGGGUGAAAUCCUGGAGCUCAACUCCAGAACUGCCUUCGAUACUGGAAGACUUGAGUCCGGGAGAGGUGAGUGGAACUGGCGAGUGUAGAGGUGAAAUUCGUAGAUAUUCGCAAGAACACCAGUGGCGAAGGCGGCUCACUGGCCCGGUACUGACGCUGAGGUGCGAAAGCGUGGGGAGCAAACAGGG